rnacentral:tRNA from 1 species
CGCGGAGUAGUGUACGGCCGCACAGGAGGCUCAUAAUCUCCUAGGCCGGGUUCGACUCCCGGCUCCGCAAC